rnacentral:tRNA from 1 species
UCCCUAGUGGUCCAGUGGCUAAGACUCUGUGCUCUCAGUGCAGGGGGCCCAGGUUCAAUCCCUGGUCCGGGAA